rnacentral:tRNA from 1 species
GCAUUGGUGGUUCAGUGAUAGAAUUCUCGCCUGCCACGCGGGACGCCCGGGUUCGAUUCCCGGCCAAUGCA